UUAUGGAUAACAAGAGACAAAGUAAAACAGUGUUAUUUUAUGGACAACAAGAGACAAAGUAAAACAGUGUUAUUUUAUGGAUACCGAGAGACAAAGUAAAACAGUGUUAUUUUAUGGACACCGAGAGACAAAGUAAAACAGUGUUAUUUUAUGGAUAACAAGACAAAGUAAAACAGUGUUAUUUUAUGGAUUCAAGACAAAGUAAAACAGUGUUAUUUUAUGGACAACAAGACAAAGUAAAACAGUGUUAUUUUAUGGAUACCGAGAGACAAAGUAAAACAGUGUUAUUUUAUGGACACCGAGAGACAAAGUAAAACAUUGUUAUUUUAUGGACACCGAGAGACAAAGUAAAACAGUGUUAUUUUAUGGACAACAAGAGACAAAGUAAAACAGUGUUAUUUUAUGGACACCGAGAGACAAAGUAAAACAGUGUUAUUUUAUGGACAA
rnacentral:lncRNA from 1 species